AGAUGGGAGCUUGCUCCCUGAUGUUACGGCGGACGGGUGAGUAACACGUGGGUAACCUGCCUGUAAGACUGGGAUAACUCCGGGAAACCGGGGCUAAUACCGGAUGGUUGUUUGAACCGCAUGGUUCAAACAUAAAAGGUGGCUUCGGCUACCACUUACAGAUGGACCCGCGGCGCAUUAACUAGUUGGUGAGGUAACGGCUCACCAAGGCAACGAUGCGUAACCGACCUGAGAGGGUGAUCGGCCACACUGGGACUGAAACACGGCCCAGACUCCUACGGGAGGCAGCAGUAGGGAAUCUUCCGCAAUGGACGAAAGUCUGACGGAACAACGCCGCGUGAGUGAUGAAGGUUUUCGGAUCGUAAAGCUCUGUUGUUAGGGAAGAACAAGUACCGUUCGAAUAGGGCGGUACCUUGACGGUACCUAACCAGAAAGCCACGGCUAACUACGUGCCAGCAGCCGCGGUAAUACGUAGGUGGCAAGCGUUGUCCGGAAUUAUUGGGCGUAAAGGGCUCGCAGGCGGUUUCUUAAGUCUGAUGUGAAAGCCCCCGGCUCAACCGGGGAGGGUCAUUGGAAACUGGGGAACUUGAGUGCAAAAGAGGAGAGUGGAAUUCCACGUGUAGCGGUGAAAUGCGUAGAGAUGUGGAGGAACACCAGUGGCGAAAGCGACUCUCUGGUCUGUAUCUGACGCUGAG
rnacentral:rRNA from 1 species